CCCUCUGUGGUGCAAUGGGUCAAUGUGUUUGGCUGUUAACCAGAAGGUUGAUGGUUUGAGCCCACCAUGGGAUGGU